rnacentral:lncRNA from 1 species
GAGCCCUCUCUGACAUUCCUCCCCUGCAUGUAGAUAAAGAGAGCCAUUUAUGCUUUAUAUUUAUAGUCACUCACCUGUAGAACAUUUUCCAUAAGUCAUAUAGUAAAUAGUCUCUGAUUUCUUUUAUAGUGUCUCAUUUGGAAAUGCGGCAGGGUUCUAGGAAACAUAAAGCACAAAAGACCACCUUUUUAUAUUUUGUAAUACUGCCUUCAACCAUGGCUCCAUGGCCCCACCACCUUACACACUGUAAACAUACAAGUUAAACCUGGGCAGUGGCCAUGGCUGUCAAUGCAUUCUGAUUUUUAAAAAUGGAAUGCUUGUACCUGAAUUGAUGGCAUUUUUUUCUUAAAUU